CGGCUGAGAGGGCGACAUUCAGUCGCUCGUUUGGGACCUUCCCAACUCGGCCU
rnacentral:ncRNA from 1 species